AAUCAAGUAGCACCUCAACUCAGAAUGAAGUUCGUACUGGCUAUACUCUUUGUUGUAAUUGCAAGCUUCGGCGUGAGUGUCUGGGGUCAAAGUAAUUAUUGUGAUUUCAACGAAGACUGCAUAUCGCCUUGCAACAAUGGCUGUAUAGUUAACACAUCGCCGAUUUGUUAUAAGAAAACUUGUUACUGUGCACUACCAUGAAGUUUCAAACGCAAAUAAUCAAACAUUUGGAUCGUAAUUUUCUACCAAUAAAAUCAAUAUCAAUGUC